AAUUACAGUAUUUUGGCAUUUGUUUUGUUCUUUUGUUUUAGUUUUCUUCUUUGGAGACUCCUAUUACCCAUAUUUUGAAUCUUCUUUGACUGUCUUCAGUAUUUGUUAUUUUCUCUCUCAUUAUUUAAAUAAUUCGAAAAUUUCUUUUUAAAAUAGACUUUAUUUAAAAAUUUUACUAUUAUUUUUAAAUUUCAAUAGGUUUUUUGGGGACAAGUGGUAUUUGGUUACAUGAAUAAGUUCUUUAGUGGUGAUUUCUGAGAUUUUGAUCUGAGAUUUUGGUGCACUCAUCACCCGAGCAGUGUACACUGUACCCAGUGUGUAGUCAUUUGUGUUUAUCCCUCACCCUCCUCCCACCCAUCCCCACAAGAAGCCAAAGUCCAUUGUAUCAUUCUUAUGCCUUUGAGUCUUCAUAGCUUAGCUCCCACUUAUGAGUGAGAACAUACAAUGCUUGGUUUUCCAUUCCUGAGUUACUUCACUUAGAAUAAUGGUCUCCAAUUCCAUCCAGGUUGCUGCAAAUGCCAUUAUUUCAUUCCUUCUCAUGGCUGAGUAGUCCAUGUUGUGUGUACACACACACACACACACACACACACACACACACACA
rnacentral:lncRNA from 1 species